UACGGGAGGCAGCAGUGGGGAAUAUUGCACAAUGGGCGAAAGCCUGAUGCAGCUAUGCCGCGUGUAUGAAGAAGGCCUUAGGGUUGUAAAGUACUUUCAUCGGGGAGGAAAAAACAAAACUAAUAAUUUUAUUUCUUGACGUUACCCGAAAAAGAAGCACCGGCUAACUCCGUGCCAGCAGCCGCGGUAAUACGGAGGGUGCUAGCGUUAAUCAGAAUUACUGGGCGUAAAGAGCACGUAGGUGGUUUUUUUAAGUCAGAUGUGAAAUCCCUGGGCUUAACCUAGGAACUGCAUUUUGAAACUGGAAAUACUAGAGUAUCGUAGAGGGAGGUAGAAUUCUAGGUGUAGCGGUGAAAUGCGUAGAUAUCUGGAGGAAUACCUGUGGCGAAAGCGGCCUCCUAAACGAAUACUGACACUGAGGUGCGAAAGCGUGGGGAGCAAACAGGGAUUAGAUACC
rnacentral:rRNA from 1 species